rnacentral:rRNA from 1 species
CCUACGGGUGGCAGCAGUGAGGAAUAUUUGUCAAUGGACGAGAGUCUGAACCAGCCAAGUAGCGUGAAGGAUGACUGCCCUAUGAGUUGUAAACUUCUUUUAUAUGGAAAUAAAAUGUUCCACGUGUGGGAUUUUGUAUGUACCAUAUGAAUAAGGAUCGGCUAACUCCGUGCCAGCAGCCGCGGUAAUACGGAGGAUCCGAGCGUUAUCCGGAUUUAUUGGGUUUAAAGGGAACGUAGGUGGAUUGUUAAGUCAGUUGUGAAAUGUUGUGGCUCAACCGUAAAAUUGCAGUUGAAACUGGCAGUCUUGAGUACAGGAGAGGUGGGCGGAAUUCGUGGUGUAGCGGUGAAAUGCUUAGAUAUCACGAAGAACUCCGAUUGCGAAGGCAGUUCACUGGACUGCAACUGACACUGAGGCUCGAAAGUGUGGGUAUCAAACAGGAUUAGAUACCCCGGUAGUC